rnacentral:rRNA from 1 species
CAGUAGCCGCGGUAAUACGUAGGGUGCAAGCGUUAAUCGGAAUUACUGGGCGUAAAGCGUGCGCAGGCGGUUUGUUAAGACAGAUGUGAAAUCCCCGGGCUCAACCUGGGAACUGCAUUUGUGACUGGCAGGCUAGAGUAUGGCAGAGGGGGGUAGAAUUCCACGUGUAGCAGUGAAAUGCGUAGAGAUGUGGAGGAAUACCGAUGGCGAAGGCAACCCCCUGGGCCAAUACUGACGCUCAUGCACGAAAGCGUGGGGAGCAAACAGGAUUAGAUACCCCUGUAGUCCCUGUCUCUUAUAC